AUUGAACGCUGGCGGCAUGCUUUACACAUGCAAGUCGAACGGCAGCGCGGGCUUCGGCCUUGCGUCGAGUGGCGAACGGGUGAGUAAUGCAUCGGAACGUGCCCAGUAGUGGGGGAUAGCCCGGCGAAAGCCGGAUUAAUACCGCAUACGACCUGAGGGUGAAAGCGGGGGACCGAAAGGCCUCGCGCUAUUGGAGCGGCCGAUGUCGGAUUAGCUAGUUGGUGGGGUAAAGGCUUACCAAGGCGACGAUCCGUAGCUGGUCUGAGAGGACGACCAGCCACACUGGGACUGAGACACGGUCCAGACUCCUACGGGAGGCAGCAGUGGGGAAUUUUGGACAAUGGGGGAAACCCUGAUCCAGCCAUGCCGCGUGCGGGAAGAAGGCCUUCGGGUUGUAAACCGCUUUUGUUCGGGAAGAAGUCCACUGGGCUAAUACCCCGGGGGGAUGACGGUACCGGAAGAAUAAGCACCGGCUAACUACGUG
rnacentral:rRNA from 1 species